UACAGAGGUGGCAAGCGUUGUUCGGAAUUACUGGGCGUAAAGGGCGCGUAGGCGGUCUUGUAAGUCCUGUGUGAAAUCCCUCGGCUUAACUGAGGAACUGCACGGGAUACUGCGAGACUUGAGAUCGGGAGAGGGAAGCGGAAUUCCGGGUGUAGCGGUGAAAUGCGUAGAUAUCCGGAGGAACACCGGUGGGCGGAAGGCGGCUUCCUGGACCGACACUGACGCUGAGGCGCGAAAGCUAGGGGAGCAAACGGG
rnacentral:rRNA from 1 species